rnacentral:rRNA from 1 species
AUUGAACGCUGGCGGCAGGCCUAACACAUGCAAGUCGAGCGGAUGAAGGGAGCUUGUUCCUGGAUUCAGCGGCGGACGGGUGAGUAAUGCCUAGGAAUCUGCCUGGUAGUGGGGGAUAACGUCCGGAAACGAGCGCUGAUACCGCAUACGUCCUGAGGGAGAAAGUGGGGGAUCUUCGGACCUCACGCUAUCAGAUGAGCCUAGGUCGGAUUAGCUAGUUGGUGGGGUAAAGGCCUACCAAGGCGACGAUCCGUAACUGGUCUGAGAGGAUGAUCAGUCACACGGGAACUGAGACACGGUCAAGACUCCUACGGGAGGCAGCAGUGGGGAACAUUGGACAAUGGGCGAAAGUCUGAUCCAGCCAGGCCGCGUGUGUGACGAAGGUCUUCGGAUUGUAAAGCACGUUUAGUUGGGAGGAAGGGCAGUAAGUUAAUACCUUGCUGGUGUGACGUUACCAACAGAAUAAGCACCGGCUAACUUCGUG